rnacentral:rRNA from 1 species
CACGGGGGGAACGAGCGUUGUUCGGAUUUACUGGGCGUAAAGGGUGCGUAGGCGGGUCGGCCAGUCGGGUGUGAAAUGUCACGGCUUAACCGUGAAUCGGCAUCCGAAACUACCGGUCUUGAGUACUGGAGAGGAAAGUGGAAUUCCUGGUGUAGCGGUGAAAUGCGUAGAUAUCAGGAGGAACACCGGCGGCGAAAGCGGCUUUCUGGACAGAUACUGACGCUGAUGCACGAAGGCCGGGGGAGCAAACAGG